rnacentral:rRNA from 1 species
UACGGAGGGUGCAAGCGUUAUCCGGAUUCACUGGGUUUAAAGGGUGCGUAGGUGGGCAGGUAAGUCAGUGGUGAAAUCUCUGGGCUUAACCCAGAGACUGCCGUUGAUACUAUCUGUCUUGAAUAUAGUGGAGGUGAGCGGAAUAUGUCAUGUAGCGGUGAAAUGCUUAGAUAUGACAUAGAACACCCAUUGCGAAGGCAGCUCGCUACACUAUCAUUGACACUGAGGCACGAAAGCGUGGGGAUCAAACAGG